rnacentral:rRNA from 1 species
UGGGGAAUAUUGCGCAAUGGACGAAAGUCUGACGCAGCGACGCCGCGUGUGGGAUGAAGCUCUUCGGGGUGUAAACCACUGUUGCCCGGGACGAACCUCCCCUUUCGAGGGGACUGACGGUACCGGGUGAGGAAGCACCGGCUAACUCUGUGCCAGCAGCCGCGGUAAUACAGAGGGUGCGAGCGUUGUCCGGAAUCACUGGGCGUAAAGGGCGCGUAGGUGGCUUGGUAAGCGUGUGGUGAAAGUCCGGGGCUCAACCCCGGAUCUGCCGUGCGAACUGCUGAGCUUGAGCAUUGUAGAGGCAGGUGGAAUUCCGGGUGUAGCGGUGGAAUGCGUAGAGAUCCGGAAGAACACCAGUGGCGAAGGCGGCCUGCUGGGCAAUAGCUGACACUGAGGCGCG